CCAACCAUAGCUCAGUUGGUAGAGCGGAGGACUGUAGCUUCAACAACUGAUAUCCUUAGGUCACUGGUUCGAAUCCGGUUGGUUGGA
rnacentral:tRNA from 1 species